UACGAAGGGGGCUAGCGUUGCUCGGAAUCACUGGGCGUAAAGGGUGCGUAGGCGGGUCUUUAAGUCAGGGGUGAAAUCCUGGAGCUCAACUCCAGAACUGCCUUUGAUACUGAAGAUCUUGAGUUCGGGAGAGGUGAGUGGAACUGCGAGUGUAGAGGUGAAAUUCGUAGAUAUUCGCAAGAACACCAGUGGCGAAGGCGGCUCACUGGCCCGAUACUGACGCUGAGGCACGAAAGCAUGGGGAUCAAACAGG
rnacentral:rRNA from 1 species